UACGAAGGGGGCUAGCGUUGCUCGGAAUUACUGGGCGUAAAGCGCACGUAGGCGGCUUUUUAAGUCGGAGGUGAAAUCCUGGAGCUCAACUCCAGAACUGCCUUCGAUACUGAAGAGCUCGAGUCCGGGAGAGGUGAGUGGAACUGCGAGUGUAGAGGUGAAAUUCGUAGAUAUUCGCAAGAACACCAGUGGCGAAGGCGGCUCACUGGCCCGGUACUGACGCUGAGGUGCGAAAGCGUGGGGAGCGAACAGG
rnacentral:rRNA from 1 species